CCUACGGGAGGCAGCAGUGGGGAAUAUUGCACAAUGGGGGAAACCCUGAUGCAGCGACGCCGCGUGAGUGAAGAAGUAAUUCGUUAUGUAACGCUCUAUCAGCAGGGAAGAAAAUGACGGUACCUGAGUAAGAAGCCCCGGCUAACUACGUGCCAGCAGCCGCUGUAAUACGUAGGGGGCAAGCGUUAUCCGGAUUUACUGGGUGUAAAGGGAGCGUAGACGGCAGUGCAAGUCUGGAGUGAAAGGCGGGGGCUCAACCCCCGGACUGCUCUGGAAACUGUACGGCUGGAGUGCAGGAGAGGUAAGUGGAAUUCCUAGUGUAGCGGUGAAAUGCGUAGAUAUUAGGAGGAACACCAGUGGCGAAGGCGGCUUACUGGACUGUAACUGACGUUGAGGCUCGAAAGCGUGGGUAGCAAACAGGAUUAGAUACCCGGGUAGUC
rnacentral:rRNA from 1 species